rnacentral:rRNA from 1 species
AAAACUCUAAGCGGUGGAUCACUCGGCUCAUGGGUCGAUGAAGAACGCAGCAAACUGUGCGUCAUCGUGUGAACUGCAGGACACAUGAACAUCGACAUUUUGAACGCAUAUCGCAGUCCAUGCUGUUAUGUACUUUAAUUAAUUUUAUAGUGCUGCUUGGACUACAUAUGGUUGAGGGUUGUAAGACUAUGCUAAUUAAGUUGCUUAUAAAUUUUUAUAAGCAUAUGGUAUAUUAUUGGAUAAAUAUAAUAAUUUUUAUUCAUAAUAUUAAAAAAUAAAUGAAAAACAUUAUCUCACAUUUGAAUGUGAAAAACGAAGAGAAAUAUUUUCUUUUUCAAUCAAAUAAUACUGAGAAAUGUCUAGCAUAAAAAAUUGAAAUAUUUUUCAUCUAGAAUUGUCUCUUAUUAAUGAUUCGGAAAUAGAAAAAUCUUGGUUAUGUUAUUAUUCUUCGUUGGUUCGUUAAAAAUGGAUAAAUAAAAACUUUGCAUACAAGAAUUAAUAAAAAUGUUAUAACGAAUUUAAUUAAAUGUUUUAUCAUUAUAUAUAAAGAAUUUAUGGCAAGAUAAAGUUAUAUACAACCUCAACUCAUAUGGGACUACCCCCUGAAUUUAAGCAUAUUAAUUAGGGGAGGAAAAGAAACUAACAAGGAUUUUCUUAGUAGCGGCGAGCGAAAAGAAAACAGUUCAGCACUAAGUCACUUUGUCUAUAUGGCAAAUGUGAGAUGCAGUGUAUGGAGCGUCAAUAUUCUAGUAUGAGAAAUUAACGAUUUAAGUCCUUCUUAAAUGAGGCCAUUUACCCAUAGAGGGUGCCAGGCCCGUAUAACGUUAAUGAUUACUAGAUGAUGUUUCCAAAGAGUCGUGUUGCUUGAUAGUGCAGCACUAAGUGGGUGGUAAACUCCAUCUAAAACUAAAUAUAACCAUGAGACCGAUAGUAAACAAGUACCGUGAGGGAAAUUGAAAAGAACUCUGAAUAGAGAGUUAAACAGUACGUGAAACUGCUUAGAGGUUAAGCCCGAUGAACCUGAAUAUCCGUUAUGGAAAAUUCAUCAUUAAAAUUGUAAUAUUUAAAUAAUAUUAUGAGAAUAGUGUGCAUUUUUUCCAUAUAAGGACAUUGUAAUCUAUUAGCAUAUACCAAAUUUAUCAUAAAAUAUAACUUAUAGUUUAUUCCAAUUAAAUUGCUUGCAUUUUAACACAGAAUAAAUGUUAUUAAUUUGAUAAAGUGCUGAUAGAUUUAUAUGAUUACAGUGCGUUAAUUUUUCGGAAUUAUAUAAUGGCAUAAUUAUCAUUGAUUUUUGUGUUUAUUAUAUGCACUUGUAUGAUUAACAAUGCGAAAGAUUCAGGAUACCUUCGGGACCCGUCUUGAAACACGGACCAAGGAGUCUAACAUAUGUGCAAGUUAUUGGGAUAUAAACCUAAUAGCGUAAUUAACUUGACUAAUAAUGGGAUUAGUUUUUUAGCUAUUUAUAGCUAAUUAACACAAUCCCGGGGCGUUCUAUAUAGUUAUGUAUAAUGUAUAUUUAUAUUAUUUAUGCCUCUAACUGGAACGUACCUUGAGCAUAUAUGCUGUGACCCGAAAGAUGGUGAACUAUACUUGAUCAGGUUGAAGUCAGGGGAAACCCUGAUGGAAGACCGAAACAGUUCUGACGUGCAAAUCGAUUGUCAGAAUUGAGUAUAGGGGCGAAAGACCAAUCGAACCAUCUAGUAGCUGGUUCCUUCCGAAGUUUCCUCAGGAUAGCUGGUGCAUUUUAAUAUUAUAUAAAAUAAUCUUAUCUGGUAAAGCGAAUGAUUAGAGGCCUUAGGGUCGAAACGAUCUUAACCUAUUCUCAAACUUUAAAUGGUAAGAACCUUAACUUUCUUGAUAUGAAGUUCAAGGUUAUGAUAUAAUGUGCCCAGUGGGCCACUUUUGGUAAGCAGAACUGGCGCUGUGGGAUGAACCAAACGUAAUGUUACGGUGCCCAAAUUAACAACUCAUGCAGAUACCAUGAAAGGCGUUGGUUGCUUAAAACAGCAGGACGGUGAUCAUGGAAGUCGAAAUCCGCUAAGGAGUGUGUAACAACUCACCUGCCGAAGCAACUAGCCCUUAAAAUGGAUGGCGCUUAAGUUGUAUACCUAUACAUUACCGGCUAAAGUAGAUGAUUUAUAUUACUUGUGAUAUAAAUUUUGAAACUUUAGUGAGUAGGAAGGUACAAUGGUAUGCGUAGAAGUGUUUGGCGGUAAGCCUGCAUGGAGCUGCCAUUGGUACAGAUCUUGGUGGUAGUAGCAAAUAAUCGAAUGAGACCUUGGAGGACUGAAGUGGAGAAGGGUUUCGUGUGAACAGUGGUUGAUCACGAGUUAGUCGGUCCUAAAGUUCAAGGCGAAAGCGAAAAUUUCAAGUAAAACAAAAAUGCCUAACUAUAUAAACAAAGCGAAUUAUAAUACACUUGAAUAAUUUUGAACGGAAAGGGAAUACGGUUCCAAUUCCGUAACCUGUUGAGUAUCCGUUUGUUAUUAAAUAUGGGCCUCGUGCUCAUCCUGGCAACAGGAACGACCAUAAAGAAGCCGUCGAGAGAUAUCGGAAGAGUUUUCUUUUCUGUUUAUAGCCGUACUACCAUGGAAGUCUUUCGCAGAGAGAUAUGGUAGAUGGGCUAGAAGAGCAUGACAUAUACUGUUGUGUCGAUAUUUUCUCCUCGGACCUUGAAAAUUUAUGGUGGGGGACACGCAAACUUCUCAACAGGCCGUACCAAUAUCCGCAGCUGGUCUCCAAGGUGAAGAGUCUCUAGUCGAUAGAAUAAUGUAGGUAAGGGAAGUCGGCAAAUUAGAUCCGUAACUUCGGGAUAAGGAUUGGCUCUGAAGAUUGAGAUAGUCGGGCUUGAUUGGGAAACAAUAACAUGGUUUAUGUGCUCGUUCUGGGUAAAUAGAGUUUCCUAGCAUUUAUGUUAGUUACUUGUUCCCCGGAUAGUUUAGUUACGUAGCCAAUUGUGGAACUUUCUUGCUAAAAUUUUUAAGAAUACUAUUUGGGUUAAACCAAUUAGUUCUUAUUAAUUAUAACGAUUAUCAAUUAACAAUCAAUUCAGAACUGGCACGGACUUGGGAAUCCGACUGUCUAAUUAAAACAAAGCAUUGUGAUGGCCCUAGCGGGUGUUGACACAAUGUGAUUUCUGCCCAGUGCUCUGAAUGUCAAAGUGAAGAAAUUCAAGUAAGCGCGGGUCAACGCGCGGAGUAACUAUGACUCUCUUAAGGUAGCCAAAUGCCUCGUCAUCUAAUUAGUGACGCGCAUGAAUGGAUUAACGACGGACGUGUUUUCGUUGCGCUCGUGGACAUAGUGCGAAGAACUUUGUUUUCCGUAUUUGGAAGUAUACGAAUAAAUAAUUUAGUGUUCCGUGGAAGUGGUGCGCAAAUUUUCGCGGAAUUAAAACAAGCGGUUUGGAAUAAUUGACAAUAAAUUAUUGGAAAUUUUCCACUCCGCACGUGUUGAGCGGCGAGCUUGCGGGUGAGCUUUUCGAACAGCUGAGAGAAGCUUAUUGGUGGUAGUCACCGCUAAGGAUUGUGUCUUGGGACAGCUUAGUGCACUCUACCAAUAGUGGAGCUAUCACCAUAGCAACUAGCCCGUGUCAGCGAGCAUACGAUUGCUGGACUCGUCAAAAGGAGGAGCCACCAUCGGAGCAACGCCGAUGGAGAGCGACAGCAGUGUGAGUGCCUUGAGCGGAAGCAGUGCCUCAAAGGUGUCAAGACGAGGCAGGCGUAGAGGCCAUCUGGCCUCCAAGAGCUCGGCCGCCAACGCAGGCGAAGACUGGUUGCCCUGGCCUCGAAUGGAGUGCCGGAACCCGUUGGUGUGCUGGAGGAGACUUUUCAUCGCUGGAGGAUGCCCGGGCGGCUACGUCAAGCGCUGCCAACGAUGCUGCCCCCCCGCUGGCUGCCCCCGCUGUUGAUCACACUGUUGCCCCUGAUGUUUCCACUGCUGCUAAAAUCGCUGCCACCACUGCCACCGCUGCCACCGCU